rnacentral:rRNA from 1 species
UGGGGAAUUUUGGACAAUGGGCGCAAGCCUGAUCCAGCAAUGCCGCGUGCAGGAUGAAGGCCUUCGGGUUGUAAACUGCUUUUGUACGGAGCGAAAAGGUCUGCCCUAAUACGGUGGGCUCAUGACGGUACCGUAAGAAUAAGCACCGGCUAACUUCGUGCCAGCAGCCGCGGUAAUACGAAGGGUGCAAGCGUUACUCGGAAUUACUGGGCGUAAAGCGUGCGCAGGCGGUUAUGCAAGACAGAGGUGAAAUCCCCGGGCUCAACCUGGGACCUGCAUUUGUGACUGUAUAGCUAGAGUACGGUAGAGGGGGAUGGAAUUCCGCGUGUAGCAGUGAAAUGCGUAGAUAUGCGGAGGAACACCGAUGGCGAAGGCAAUCCCCUGGACCUGUACUGACGCUCAUGCACGAAAGCGUGGGGAGCAAACA